AUUGAACGCUGGCGGCAGGCCUAACACAUGCAAGUCGAGCGGAUGACGGGAGCUUGCUCCUUGAUUCAGCGGCGGACGGGUGAGUAAUGCCUAGGAAUCUGCCUGGUAGUGGGGGACAACGUUUCGAAAGGAGCGCUAAUACCGCAUACGUCCUACGGGAGAAAGCAGGGGACCUUCGGGCCUUGCGCUAUCAGAUGAGCCUAGGUCGGAUUAGCUAGUUGGUGGGGUAAUGGCUCACCAAGGCGACGAUCCGUAACUGGUCUGAGAGGAUGAUCAGUCGCACUGGAGCUGAGACACGGUCCAGACUACUACGGGAGGCAGCAGUGGGGAAUAUUGGACAAUGGGCGAAAGAUUGAUCCAGCCAUGCCGCGUGUGUGAAGAAGGUCUUCGGAUUGUAAAGCACUUUAAGUUGGGAGGAAGGGCAGUAAGUUAAUACUUUGCUGUUUUGACGUUACCGACAGAAUAAGCACCGGCUAACUCUGUGCCAGCAGCCGCCGCAGUAA
rnacentral:rRNA from 1 species